UCUCUGCGUGUCGCCAGCGGUCACACCUUGGACGUGGCGGGAGCAGGCCACGUCAGUUGUAAUACUACUGCCACAAAAACGACUCGCUGCAAGAUUAGAUGCGCGGGUGCUGCUGUCGAGACAGACUCGGACCUGGGGAGCGUGCUAUCAAUAAGAAAAACCGAAAAAGACAUCCUACGCUCGCCUGAACCAGGUAGCAGCUCCCAGCGCAGGGAAGGGCCGAAGCGUUCCAGGGAGGGGAUGAAGGCGAAAGCUCAGUACAAGGCGGCCCUCAAAUUACUGAGCCGGCUUCAAGGAAAGGCAGAUCUCUCCCAAGAGGAGAAAUCUAGGCUAGCCUGGGCAGAGCAACAGGUAGAGGACGGUCGCAGGCACUACGCGCAGCUGCCACAGAUGCAGGCGGCGAAUGGUGGAUUCGCAAACAAGGUCGAGGAGAUGCUGGCCGCCAAGAAAAAACGCUCGACUGAGUGUACCGUCAAGGACUCUCCGGCGAGUAAGCGGAAAAGCGGGCAUGAGUGCGUAGCCCCUCCACCGAAACCGGCGAAGAAGCCCAAGACGAAAGCAAAGGUCAGCAACGUGUACAAGAGACACUUGAUCGUGGCGCUCAUUGACCGGAGCGACGAAAACGGGAAGAUGACGGCGGCGCAGUGGAAGUUGGUGCACGCGCGGCUCGUUGACUCACUGUUCGAACGGAUGGAGGAAGAUCCGGCAUCCCCCAUGCCUACUUUCGAUGGUGCUGGGUGGCUAAAUGGGGUGAAAAUCCUGAAGUGUAACGACGAUCCAACACUUAGGUGGCUAAUAAAACGGUCUGCCAAAUGGAAGCAAUGUGGAAGGGGGCCAAGCUAGAGGUCGUAGACAGGGAGCUAAUCCCAUCCAUACCAAAAGCGAAGGUACUUUUCCCCAUUGCAAUCCAAGGGGACCGUGCGUUGAAGCUCCUACAGCGGCAGAACGCAGAUGUGCCAACGGCGAACUGGAGGAUCCUCCACAUUGGGAGCCCGCUACCCAACGAGGGUGGCCAGUGUAUCAUCCUCCAAAUCAAUAAGGAAGCGGAGGAUCUACUCUACCCCAGAUUCGGGAAGAUGGCCUGGGGCAUGGGUAGUGUAUACCUGCGCCUCAAGAAGCGCCACCCCGGUGACAAUGAUUCGCACACCUUGCAGGCGGGCGAGGUAGAGAAGGACCUAGGUCUGGAAACGACCGUCGAGGUCGCCCAGGGUCUUGCGGUGGAAGACUCUGAGGAAGAGGAGGAUGGUGACCUGACGAUAGUAGUCAACCCGUCGAGUGUAAGAGAGCCAGCCAUCCAUGACGCUGAUUGUGCUGCAGCUCAACUUGCAUAAAAGCAAGAAAGCGUUGGCGGAACUCUUUAUUGCCAUGGAGCAAGAGCCCGCUGACGUAGCUUUAGUCCAGGAGUGGUGGAUUGCGUCAGGCAAUUUAGUGGCUGGACUAAGGUCCUCAAACUACAAUCUAUUUUACUCAAUAUCGCACGGAUGACCUGCCAGUAGUGAUGCUGGAAAGUGAGGAAAACCGUUUCUUGCUACAUGGCACACGACAGGCCCGCACAACCCUACUAACUAAGGAGUCUGGUGACAGAAGCCGGAUCUAAAAACCGUCAACUUCUUAUUGGUACGGGCGCAAAUGCCCACCACAAUGUGUGGGGAAGCCCCGACAUCAGUGACAGAGGAAGAUAAAAAAAACUGCGAGGCUGGACUUUACAAAAAUCAGCGUGACUGCUCUAAUGUUUGGCAGAAUUUUAAGCGAUCGAGUGAUAGGCAAAGCGGAAUUUUGUAAUUACUUUGGAAAAUGUCUGAAAACAGCAGAAAACACGACGAACCUAAUGGAUAAUUUAAGGCGAAUAAGUCCGAACAAUGCGACUGAAGACAAAGAGCAUGCACCAACGGCAUUGGGGGGAUUCUUGGUUCGGGAUGUUUGGUAUCCAUCCGGACCGAAACGUUAAAACCAAAGUCCAGGGCAAAGGAAGGAUACUUAACCGUAACUUAAUUCAGCCGUACUGUCAAACACAAAAUUUAGUAUCAGAGAAAUUUAGUCUGCGAUGUUGGCAGCCGGGUGGUAAGUAUAUUUAUACACGUCUGCCAACAUCGCAGACUAAAUUUUACCGGUCUUAACAGAGUAAGUCUUACGUCGUUAUACCCGGAAGACGCUCUAACCAAAAGGAGCAAAAACAAUUUUUGUUUGCUUAUUUUAUGGUUGCCAUCUUUGUUAUAGGUUUUAAAAUAAAACUAAUUAAUUUUUCAAUCAAAACAAAAAAUUGAAUUCAG